rnacentral:tRNA from 1 species
GGCUUGUGGCUCAGCAGUAGAGCACUCACCUAUCACAGGCGAGGCCCUGGGUUCAAUCCCCAACACCA